CCUACGGGGGGCAGCAGUGGGGAAUAUUGGACAAUGGGCGAAAGCCUGAUCCAGCCAUGCCGCGUGUGUGAAGAAGGCCUUCGGGUGGUAAAGCACUUUCAGUGGGGAAGAAAGCCUUGGGGCUAAUACCCUCGAGGAAGGACAUCACCCACAGAAGAAGCACCGGCUAACUCCGUGCCAGCAGCCGCGGUAAUACGGAGGGUGCGAGCGUUAAUCGGAAUUACUGGGCGUAAAGCGCGCGUAGGCGGUCUGAUAAGCCGGUUGUGAAAGCCCCGGGCUCAACCUGGGAACGGCAUCCGGAACGGGCAGGCUAGAGUGCAGGAGAGGAAGGUAGAAUUCCCGGUGUAGGGGUGACAUGCGUAGAGAUCGGGAGGAAUACCAGUGGCGAAGGCGGCCUUCUGGACUGACACUGACGCGGAGGUGCGAAAGCGUGGGUAGCAAACAGGAUUAGAUACCCGUGUAGUC
rnacentral:rRNA from 1 species